CGACACUGAUUUGGAAGAUGAUGUCGUUAUGGAGAUAUCUGAAGAGAAUCAACUAUCUAUGUCAUGACAUGACAACACAUCCCAUGUUCAAAAUUAUUACAACAAGCACCAUGCUUCUUGUAGUGGACUGUACAGAGACUAUGUGGACCUUGUCAGUGAAGACAAUGUAUUUAGUGGUUCUGAAGAAGAGCAGCUGAAUAGAGCUCUAGAGGAAUCGCUAAAGGAAAGCUUGCAUGCAGCUGUUCAUGUGGAAGAUAUCCUACAAUCUCUGAGAGUUGGAAUCAAUGAAGAAGUCAUUCGCUUCAACUUAAACAGAAGAAAUGAGUGGGAUGGUGCUGUAAGAGCCAUGAGGAGGCCAAACUUUUCAACCAACAAAAGAGUUGAUGUGAAAUUCACAGAUGAUGCUGGUGUUUCGGAAGGAGCAGUGGAUUUGGGAGGGCCAAUGAGGGAGUUUUUCAGACUAGUGGUGCAACAUCUAAGAAACAGCCCUAUGUUUGAUGGCCCAGAAAAUCAACGUACUCUCUCAUGCCAUGUAGAGUGUAAGUGUGUAAAUCAAUUUCAUUUUAUGUGCUGAAAACUGAAUUAUAAAAAUCCAGUAGUAGAUAUGGUGUGCCAAAUGUUCACAGUAUGUAUUUUUCAUAAGAGAACAGAAGGACGUGUGGUGACAUUAGAUACAAUUGUUUCUCUGGAGCCGCGCAUGAUGCAAAGCAAAUGUAAUUAACCAGCACUAUUUCUGAAAAUUAAAGCUUUUUUCAGAAGCUGCUUUGGUAGAAUGUUGUUUGCAUGACAGAAACAAAUAUAUUAUACAUAACAAAUGAAAUUACAUGAUCAUGCUGUUAUUAACUACCAUUUCCAUUGAAAUCACGUGCAUUAUGUUACCCCAUAGCCAACUAUAACAUGCAAUCCUUCAAAAUACAUUUGCUUCAUAAGUAAUAUUGAUUUUUUUUCUUUCUGGUAGCUUUGAAAAACAACAGCUAUUUCUAUGCAGGACAGUUGAUUGCUAUGAGCAUCGUACAUGGAGGACCAUCUCCACAUUUCUUUGCCCCAGUGUUGUUCCAGGCAGUAGCGUUAGGUCCAGACAACGUGCAUGCGGCAAUCGAGGAUAUAACAGACCCUGAUAUUAAAUGUCAGCUGUCAGAUGUAGGAGUUUAGCAUAUGUAGACAAAUCCCGCAGAGGGACUCACCGUGCUAUUCUACUGAAAUAUUUCCAUACUUGGAAAGUAUGUUUUUGACAGUACAGGCCCAAUGUUGCAUUGAACACAUUAAGUGUAAUUUAGGAUUAUUAUUAUUAUUAUUUAUUAUUAUUAUUAUUAUUAUUGCAGACAUUUAGCAGACGACUUUUUCCAAGGUUUAUCAAGCAGCAAAAUACAAUCUACUAUAAAACAUUACAAUGUAACAACUUCACUGUAAUAAAUUAGCCACAGACAACAGUGCACAUUAAAAAAUAGAGAGUAAAUACAUACAUAAAAUAAAGCAUGAAAAAUAUGAAAGCAGAUUACAAAAGUGUGUGGGGGGAAAAAAUCCUUUAUGUCUAUGUACACAUACCUAAUCUGAUUAGUUAAAAAAAAGUCAGUGUGUGUGUGUGUGUGUGUACAAUGUACACUUGUCAAGCUAAUAUAACAAUGUUGUGUUCAGUGCUAAUUCUACUCUUUAGUGUGAACAGAAUUUAGUAUGUGGAAUAUUGAAACCAGUGAAGUUGAUUUUAAAAAGCAAUUCAAGAAAAUUGAAACCUGUAGAAGGAUUCAAUAUGAUUGUUUGGUGUGUUUUAACAAUGUUUCAGAAAUGUCUUUAUAUUGGAACAGAGGGGUCAGGUUAAUCCGAGUCAUUUCAAAGGGCUGCUGAGCUGUUCAGAUUUUAAAAAGAAAUGUGUUUUGCUGGAACCAGCAGUUCUAUUGAAUGACCACAAGAUGGCAGCAUGAGGCCAUUUUUUAAGCACAGCGGUGUCUGAAAUGCUGUCCAUGUUUAGGAAUGUAGGAGGAGCGGGCGCUGCUAUUUCUCCACUCCGCGUCGCGUGUACCGUUUUUUUCUCCUUUUAUUUCUGUAUUUUCUCAUUUGAUCUUUUCUAAAACUACAAGUCAUUCAAGGUGUGCCCUUUUAUUUUAUUAUUUUUUAUAUUAAUAGGUGAUUUUGUGUUUGCUGUAAUAAGAACAUAAGAAAGUUUACAAACGAGAGGAGGCCAUUCAGCCCAUCUUGUUCGUUUGGUUGUUAGUAGCUUAUUGAUCCCAGAAUCUCAUCAAGCAGCUUCUUGAAGGAUCCCAGGGUGUCAGCUUCAACAACAUUACUGGGGAGUUGGUUCCAGACCCUCACAAUUCUCUGUGUGAUGUUGUACUGGUCUCUCCCACAUGUUUUAUUUCGUUGCAGUAAAAUAUGACCUCAUUGACUGGCAUUAUAUCGAGAGGGAAGAAAAAGGGGGCAGGUGUGCGCACACAAAGAAAGAAGACAGCAUUUUCCCCACCAGCUCUUUGAAAAAGCAACUAGCUGUUUUGUGAGAGUUCUAUCCUGUGUAUUAACUUUGGAGUUGUAUAUACAGAAAAGUCAGAAGUACCUUAAAAAAAACUAUAGUCAACCUUGUGAUUAAUAAUAAUAAUAAUAAUAAUAAUAAUUUAAUGUAUUAUCGCAAAUCCAUUACCUCUUCAUCCCUCAACACAAGGA